ACUUCAGUGGCCUAAUGGAUAAGGCAUUGGCUUUCUGUGCCAGAGAUUGUGGGUUUAAGUCCCACCUGAAGUA